rnacentral:rRNA from 1 species
GGAUUAGAUACCCUGGUAGUCCACGCCGUAAACGUUGGGCGCUAGGUGUGGGGCUCAUUCCACGAGUUCCGUGCCGCAGCUAACGCAUUAAGCGCCCCGCCUGGGGAGUACGGCCGCAAGGCUAAAACUCAAAGGAAUUGACGGGGGCCCGCACAAGCGGCGGAGCAUGUUGCUUAAUUCGAUGCAACGCGAAGAACCUUACCUAGGCUUGACAUGCACGGAAAUCCUCCAGAGAUGGUGGGUCCGUAAGGGCCGUGCACAGGUGGUGCAUGGUUGUCGUCAGCUCGUGUCGUGAGAUGUUGGGUUAAGUCCCGCAACGAGCGCAACCCUCGUCCUAUGUUGCCAGCACGUGAUGGUGGGGACUCAUAGGAGACUGCCGGGGUCAACUCGGAGGAAGGUGGGGAUGACGUCAAAUCAUCAUGCCCCUUAUGUCUAGGGCUGCAAACAUGCUACAAUGGCCGGUACAAAGGGCUGCGAUACCGCGAGGUGGAGCGAAUCCCAAAAAGCCGGUCUCAGUUCGGAUUGGGGUCUGCAACUCGACCCCAUGAAGUUGGAGUCGCUAGUAAUCGCAGAUCAGCAACGCUGCGGUGAAUACGUUCCCGGGCCUUGUACACACCGCCCGUCACGUCACGAAAGUCGGU